ensembl:lncRNA
UAAUAUUUGUCCUUUUUCACAAAACUGACAUGCUGAUGAACAUGAACUGAUCUAUAUAUGAACGGGGUUCCUGUAUAUUUUAAAUACAUUACAGCUCAUUGUGCAACUUACAACUGUUCAUAAAUUGCAGACAAAUGAGCUCAUUGUUCCUCCAGAUGCCAGAAGUCGGCAUCACAAUGGGUUAUCAUGUCUUCCUGAAGGGCGCUUUAGCGAGGCAGCUGCUUUCUGGUGUUUGGCUUCUGUGAUUCCAACUGUACACGUGUGGACAGAAGCUUCUUCCAAAUCUGAAUCAGUGCCUCCGAUGUCCGUGCACGUCACCUCACCGGUGGGUUUGUUCCUGAGUGUAGGAUGGAAAUAUUUUGUAAAUGAGGAGUGGUAAUCCACGUCUGCAUGCUGUAGCAGGAACAAUAAAUAAACUGUAUGAAACAGAAAGCCCUUUGCUGUAAAAAAAAAAGAACAGGAUCAAAUGUGUGGAAAUGGAAAAAAAAAGAAAUAGUGUGGGCAAACAUAAAAUAAUCCCACCCUGUUGCAUCAGUUAUUCAUUUAAUAUGGAAUGAAGAAGAUAUAAUCCAUAGAAUUAUGGAUUUCAACACACACAGACUCGUAUGUUUAUUUAAAACUCACACAGUGAAUUAUUGAUCUACAUAAACAUUACUGGAAAGCGUGCAGUCAUCAGACUAGAGUCACACUAGAGACCACUGUCCACAGGACAACAGUGUGCAGCAUCGGGACGAGGACACGUUGGGAGACACACACACACACACACACUAUCAGACGCACUGGUUCCAGACGCCCCCCCCUCCUGCGUGGCGGGCCGAGCAGAGUUUCUCAGGGACUGACAACACAGCCGUACUCCAUUCGCUCGGUCUGAAAGACGGCUACCGGGACAAAGGGCACGAGUUGAGGAGAGGGGGCGCGAGAGGGAGAGAUGCUCGCUGAGUCUCCCAGCAGCCCUCCCCUGAGCAGGACGGAGAGCGCCGCUCUUCCUCCUAGCUCGUAGCACGCUCCCUCCCCGGCCCUCAGCCAUUUUGGAGAGAGGGGAAAAAGUGGCUGCUUUUCUCUCUGCCUCUCUCUCGCUACGUGGCAUAGCUGAGGAGAAGGCUGCAGAGAAGACGCUCUUUGCAGCUCGCACUCGGGAGAUGUUUGCAGGGGGGGAAAAAAAAUAACCUUCUUACAGCUUUUUUUUUUUUUUUUUUUUUUUUUAUAUAUGAAUUUUUGUUACCCUUGCAUUCAGCCGCUAAGCCUCUCUCCUCUCUGCUGUGCACUUUCACUCAUGCUGUGUCCUUUUCUUUCGAAAAAAAACUUGCGCUCUAGUUUUUCAACUCCUAUCCUUUUCCCAUCUCUCAAUUUGAUUCGAUGCAACCGAGUUAAAGACAAAGGAAUAUGUCCAAAAUUGUGGCAGCACUAAGAAGAGACAAAGCUGCAGCCAAGAAUCCUGCUGGGAUCCAAAAAAGAAAAGCAGAAUGAAGCACCAAAAAAAAAAAAAAGAAAAAAAAAAAAGAAAACACCACCCUUUCCUUUGCUUGGUCACAAAUUCCACUUUCUCUGUAGCCAGCCCUGCGCUGCCACUCCUCCUCAUCCACAUCUUACUGCAUUCAACCUUUUGCCAUUUCUCUCUUGCCGUACAUUUUUUUUUACGGGCGAUUUGAGGUUUUUGCACCCUGGAAAAUGGGCACCGGACAACGGGUUAGCAGGGCAUCAUAACGAAGGGAUGUUAUCUUCCUACUUUUGCUUGUUAUUUCGCUUUUAUGUUUUUCUUUUUUUUUUCUCCCUGCCACUGUUAUUCCGUCGUUGUUGUUGUUGCACUGCUUGUAGUUUUAGGCUCUUAUGUGUUUUUCGGGUCUGCUCGGAUUACCACGUGUUUGAGUGUGUGCUUUCAGGAAUGAGUGUGCACAGGUAUCUUUAGUAUCUGUCGACGUUAGACUUUCUGCUCACUCAAAGUCAUUUGCUGACCAGCAUCUACAUCUGUUUUUAUAGGGUUCUUGAUUAAUGCCAAAGCUUUGGCCUACACUUCUCCUCCAGCCUGACUCCAUCUCAUUCCAGAGGAUGUCUGACCAUCAAUUCCCUGUUGCUGUGGACCGGGAAGAAAUCUCCCCACCCCGUCUCGCUCCCCGUCAACCAAAGUCCUUUCAUGAUGAAUGGCAAGGCGGCUCCUCACUCUGCUUUCAUCUUUUCCUCCUCUUGCAUCUUUUCUUAUUCAGCAUAUCUUCUUUCUUCUGCCUAAUCUGAUGUCGGGCAUUAAAAUCAGAAUCUCGCGAGUUGAAACUGUCUUAGCUGCAAUGAAUUCAGCAGCUAAACCCGAGUGCCUGAGAUCCAGCGCUCUACGAUUGUUGCAUCUGUUUAUGAACCACCAACACCGACCCCACAAACAGUCCGGACAGGCCGUGCUCUCCGGGCUGCUGUGUGGCCGAUUGGAGCGCAUUUCCAUCACCGGCACCCGGGCAACUUUUUUCAAAACUGGUCUGACGAUAAAGAAGUAUCCGCGGCUUCUUUCGGGGAGCAGAUGGAUUUUUUUUUCUUUUUUU